AGACGAGGCUACCGCCUCUCCUCAGCCCGAACGGCAUCGAAGUAACGACUGGAUAAAAAGCUUGAUUUAAAUAUCUAAAA
rnacentral:ncRNA from 1 species